rnacentral:rRNA from 1 species
UACGUAGGGGGCUAGCGUUGCUCGGAAUCACUGGGCGUAAAGCGCACGUAGGCGGACUCUUAAGUCGGUGGUGAAAUCCUGGAGCUCAACUCCAGAACUGCCUUCGAUACUGAGAGUCUCGAGUCCGGGAGAGGUGAGUGGAACUGCGAGUGUAGAGGUGAAAUUCGUAGAUAUUCGCAAGAACACCAGUGGCGAAGGCGGCUCACUGGCCCGAUACUGACGCUGAGGUGCGAAAGCGUGGGGAGCAAACAGG